rnacentral:hammerhead_ribozyme from 1 species
AUCCAGAUGACGAGCCUCAAAUAGGACUUAAUGCACAUCCUGGAU